UACGGAGGGUGCGAGCGUUGUCCGGAAUCACUGGGCGUAAAGGGCGCGUAGGUGGCGCGGGCAGUCAACGGUGAAAGUUCGGGGCUCAACCCUGAAUCGGCCGUCGAUACUCCCGUGCUUGAGCACUGUAGAGGCAGAUGGAAUUCCGGGUGUAGCGGUGGAAUGCGUAGAGAUCCGGAAGAACACCAGUGGCGAAGGCGGCUCACUGGCCCGAUACUGACGCUGAGGCACGAAAGCGUGGGGAGCAAACAGA
rnacentral:rRNA from 1 species